UUUGGGGGCCAAUCAGGUGGAGUUACCAUGAACUCCCCCAGGCUUGAAAAAGAGCAAGGGUAAUGAGUAUUUUCCAGGUUGGUUGGUCUCCUUUUAUUA
rnacentral:SRP_RNA from 2 species